UAAACUUGUACUUUACUUGGCACUAAAUUUGCAUGUGAAGACGCGUCUCACAAGCAAAGAAACAAUAGUAAAUUAAGCCAAUGAAACCAAACCCAUGCAUUUCCUUCGAGGACUAUAUCAGCUCUCAUAUCAUUUGCAUUAGCAUUACCAUACCAACCAACAUUACCAAUUCCCACUACCAUUGAGAAGAAGGAUAUGGUCUAAGUUAGGUUGUUUCCAUGUUUGAGGGAUGAAUGUGAUGUGUUUCUUCAAGUCUUUGUAACAAAAUAAAACAAGUUUUUUCUUUCAAUUUAAGUUUGUCCAUGAAAUGUUAGCUUCAAGUGCAAUGUAUCAAAUUUUCUCGUCUAUCUCUCUAACAAGUCGAUCAUAGUUUUCUCUAUCUAAAUUUUCUUUUUCAUUUACUUCAACGAAAGGGUAGUUUUGGAUCAAUGUUUGACAUAAAAUCACUCAUCUUAAUUGUUUUAUCUCUAUUUCAAUUUAAUAAGUGAUUUUCACAUAGAUCUAGUUUUUUUGUUGUGAUUUCGUCACUCUGCAGUGUUCUGUUGUUCGUCGUCUUGUGUAGCAUUAUUUGAUUUUUUGUCUUGUUGCGAUGUUCAUUUGGUUCCUAUUGAAAGAUUGUCUUUUCAAUCAAUGAUUUGGGUGUCAACGUUGUCCGGAGAUAUGAGUAUUCCGAUCACUUCUAUUUUAUCUUUUUUUUUUUUUUUAAUAUUUUAUCCUAUUAUUUAUAAGCAUUUUGUCAUUGUAUGCUAUUAACUUCAAUGAUGUGAAUGAUACACUUUAUCAUUUUAAAUGAAUGAAUAUAAUUUUUUUUUUUACAAAUGAAUAUUAUUUUAUUUUUGUUUAAAAAAAAAUAUCAGUGCAACUGUUGUCUUCCUGCAACAUACACAUCCAUCACAUUGGGGGCACCUGGCCCCCACUAAUACUAUAUAUUGUUUUUUUAACUGAUUAUUGAGUAAUUUUACAUAAUCCCUACUAAAUAUUAUGAGUUGCGACGACCAAAAUUAUUGAAUAUUUUAUUUGAGAAGAAAUAAAUGUACAAUAAUAUCGAAGAUAAACUAUUGAUUUUUAUUUUGAUCGAGUAGUUUAGUGACGAAUUCACCUUUUUUAAGGUGAAUAAGUGGGGUGUUCAUGAUUCGAACUCAGUCCCUGUAUAUAAUAAUGCAUGUCCCUACCAACUAAACUAUAUUCACGGGACAACUAUUGAAUUCUAAUUUGGUCACAUACAUAAGAAAAAAAUAUUUUCAGUGAAAAUAAAAAAAAUAAAUAUAAAAUCGUUUAAAAAUACAAG
rnacentral:lncRNA from 1 species